UACGUAGGUGGCGAGCGUUGUCCGGAUUUACUGGGCGUAAAGAGCGCGCAGGCGGUCGGAUCAGUCGAAUGUGAAAGCCCCCGGCUUAACUGGGGAGGGUCAUUCGAUACUGUUCGACUCGAAGGCAGGAGAGGGGAGUGGAAUUCCCGGUGUAGUGGUGAAAUGCGUAGAUAUCGGGAGGAACACCAGUGGCGAAGGCGACUUUCUGGCCUGUUCUUGACGCUGAGGCGCGAAAGCUAGGGGAGCAAACGGG
rnacentral:rRNA from 1 species